UUGUUUAUCUGUAAAGGAUUUUAUUUCUCACUUAUGAAGCUUAGUUUGGCUGGAUAUGAAAUUCUGGCUUGAAAGUUCUUUUCUUUAAGGAUGUUGAAUAUCGGCCCUCAGUCUCCUCUGGCUUAUAGAGUUUCUGCUGAGAAAUCUGUUGUAAGUCG